rnacentral:lncRNA from 1 species
GAGGGGUUGGUUCCAGCCUUAGAAAAAGACUAAAAUAACAUCAAAACGUAUCCCUUACUCUAGCUCUUUUCAGCCAUCCGAUAUAGAAUCAACGCUUCAAAAAUGAGCCGCGUAGCUAUACUCAUCUGAUCGCUCCAUCCACAGAAUAUCUGAUCGUCCCAGCUGUCUGCAGUGGGGAAGACGAGCUCAUCACGUGUCGCUGCGGAAUGGAUCCUCUCCUUACCUCCAUGGCUGACUACUUGGGCCACGACCGAGUUAGUCGGCCUGCCGUACGGAUGCAUGCAUGAAUCCACACAUGGUUAGUGCGUAUGUGUGCAUACGUGAUAUUAUGUUAGCUAACGGUCACCAGUUAGAAGACAUGCAGUAACUAGUGCUUCUCUUUUUUUUUCUUUUUACUCUGAUUUUCUUUACGAAUUUUCGACACUUCUCCAUGAUUUGUGAAAUUUAUAGAAGACUGUAUUACAAGAUAAAAAAACUCUUUAAAAAGAGCUCUCCUAUAUCUAUCUCCCAAACUACUAAUAAAUAUAAAACAACUCUCACGAUAUAUUUCCUCUCACUUCUGCACCUCUAAAUCUAACCUAGCCUCUCACCUCAUUUUAUAGGCUUGGAGGGGCUGGUUCCACCCUUGAGAAAAGACUAAAAUAAACUCAAAAUGUAGCCCCCUACUCUAUAUUUUUUUUAAUCAGCCAUUAGAUGUAGAAUUAACACUUCAAAAAUAAAUAAAGAACUAAGAUUUAAGAAUUGAAAUAUCUAUUGGAUAGUGAAUAAAUUAUUAGUAUAAACAUUAAUGCAAUCACAAGAAGCAUAACAGCAUAUAGUUAGAAUUUGAACUUCUCAUUGGAUAUUUAAGUUGUGUUCUUUUCAUUGAUAAAAGAUAAAAGAUAAGACAUAUUAUUUUCGUUAAUGAAAAAUAAAAUAUUAUAUAAUAUUGUGAUAAUUGUUUAAUAGAAAAAACGAUCAAAUUUACAGAACAUUAUAUGAUAAGAUAAAAAAACUUUUUAGAAGAACUACUUUAGAUCUA